GACGAACGCUGGCGGCGUGCUUAACACAUGCAAGUCGAGCGGUAAGGCCCUUUCGGGGGUACACGAGCGGCGAACGGGUGAGUAACACGUGGGUGACCUGCCCUCAGCUCUGGGAUAAGCCUGGGAAACCGGGUCUAAUACCGGAUAUGACUCCAUGACGCAUGUUGUGGGGUGGAAAGCCUUGUGCGGCUGAGGAUGGGCCCGCGGCCUAUCAGCUUGUUGGUGGGGUGAUGGCCUACCAAGGCGACGACGGGUAGCCGGCCUGAGAGGGCGACCGGCCACACUGGGACUGAGACACGGCCCAGACUCCUGCGGGAGGCAGCAGUGGGGAAUCUUGCGCAAUGGGCGAAAGCCUGACGCAGCGACGCCGCGUGAGGGAUGACGGCCUGGUU
rnacentral:rRNA from 1 species